rnacentral:tRNA from 1 species
GGAGUAGUACUCAAGUUGGCCGAAGAGGUGCCCCUGCUAAGGGUAUAGGGCGGGAAACUGUCGCGAGAGUUCGAAUCUCUCCUACUCCGCCA